GUGGUGCAUUGCAUCAAGCGGCGGCACUGGCGGCCUCGACUCAAUCCGGGUCCUGGGCGCUGCUCUGGGUCACCCUGCGGCAGGUUACACAGCAAGUGACCAGUUUCUUCCCAUGAGUCAGGAAGGAUCUUACUUGGUACUUAUGCCAAGAAGGGGAUUUUAAGUCACAUCUGUCUGGCAAGUAUGUUCAUUCUUAGUACUGUGGUUAAGCAUUUUUCAAACUUGUUCAGAAACAUUAAAGUAUUCUUAAACAAUGGAAACUCCUUUAAAUUUGGAGCACAAUGAAUUAAUGAAGCCUGUUAGCCACUGGUUUCCUAAGCAGCAUGCAUAUACUGUAAUUCUUGUUGGAAACGCAAGUAUCUGGUAAAUAUUUUAUUGCUUAUAGGUUUUAAAUCUGGAUCAGUUGCAUUGCAUGCAUUAUCAGUAAGAUGUCCCUGUUCAAAAGAGCUAGACAUCCACUUAAUUUUUGAUCUACGACAGCUUGCUGACCUAAGCAGCACAGAAAUGCUGCUUUGCAGAUGUUUCAUUUAAGUUUAGUAUUUACUUAAACUAGUUUGCUGUAUGACAGUGACAGUUAAACACUGGUCAUCUGUGGUAUUACAUUUUAUUUUUAAUUUGGAUUAAAGGCAUUAAGACUUCAUGCUGGUAUACUUAAAACAAAAAAAAAAUGGCAACAUACCUGCAGUUCUAGAUUUUGUUAAUGUAUGCAAACAGAAAAGUAACACAGGUUUACAUGAAGUGUUUACAUAAACAUUUGUUUCUCCUUUCAGAUUUAUGGUCACAGCUACGGGACAAAUUCAGUCUCAAAUGAAUUAGGUGAAAUACAGCAUACAGUUUGCUAACAUUCUUUCCAGAAAUGAUGGGUCUAAGACCCAAAUGGUUUGUAUAAUUUUUAAAUCUGAAAUCAAAAUCUUCCUGGUUUUUCAGGUAAUUUGUUACAUGGGUUGCAGGGGAAUCUUGCUGUUCAUUAAAAGUUUAAACAGUGUGGAUGCUGUCUUGCAGCUAAGUUGUCUUUACUAAAAUGUUCUCUCUUCACCCGAGAUAUGAAGAUGACUGCACUGUGGGAUGAGGUAGUAGGUUGUAUAGUUUUAGGGUCAUACCCACAACUGGGAGAUAACUAUACAAUCUACUGUCUUUCCUAAAGCAGCAGAAAAAUCAACAGUGGCAACUUCUCAAUUUGGAGUUCAUUGUCAUUGUCCAGAAUUUCUAUUUCAAAGGUCUUAUAAACAUAAUGAAUAUAACUACAGCAUGUGAUAGUUUAUAUAUGUCUGUUCUCAUGAGGAUCAGCUUUUUACUGUUCUUUGUUAAAUUUUUCUUCCCCUUGAAGAAAACAGGUGUGCAAGAGUAUGUUUAAAGGAGAUACCCCCAGAUUUCUGGGGAAAAUUUAAGCUUAUGUUUCCAACAGUACUACCAAUGGCAGACAGUGUUAAUGUGGGUGCCCAUGUAAUGUUGUUCAAAGAAAAAUAGCUGUACAACUAAGAUGUAUUUUCUGGAAGGACAGUACAGAUUUCUCUAUCAGAGUGAGGUAGUAGAUUGUAUAGUUGUGGGGUAGUUAUUUUACCCUGUUCAGGAGAUAACUAUACAAUCUAUUGCCUUCCCUGAGGAGUAAAACAAGUCUGCAGCUCUUACAUGGUAGUUGGUGUCCACAGAGAUUGGCUUGCAAGUGGAUUAUUCAAGUUAAGAUCCCACAUUAAGUGGCUAGGAUUUGCACGUUAACAUGGCAUUUGACUACUACCACUCUUAUCCAAGGUGAGUGACAUGGCUGUAUAUUCAAGAUGCAUGGUCCACUGCUUAAUCUAAUUGAAAGUGUUCUGUAUGUAGAAAUACCUGAAAUACCUUUUGAAUACUAUAAAAUCUUUUUGGCUAGGGAAAAAAAGUACUACAACUUCUUGGUUCUGAAUUUGAUUGCAGGUCUCUCAAAUUUCCAUGACUAGUCUAGACAUCAAAUUGAUGUCAGCUCAAGAGUGUUAAAACAUGUGCCUCAAUACCACCAUUUCAGCAGGGCACUAAAAUGCUGUGGAGCCCAACAGCUACUGUUUGUGAAUUUAAGCAAUACAUUUUAGGGUGAAAAUAUUAAGCAUAAGUUUUUUCACCUUCCAAAUCUGUAAGGUGAGAUGAUGAUGAAGUUCAGUACCUUUGCUGGGAUUACUUCCUUCAGUUAACACGGAUAGCAUUAAAUGAGCAAUCCCUUUGAUCCACUGAUUUAAGUUUAUUGGAAACUGUUAAGAACCAGGCAUUCAAACAUCAUUCUAUAUAUUCAGUAGGGGUGUGUGAAAUGAGCCUUGCUCGAUUUGGAUUCGUCCGAAUCGGGGACAGUGAUUUGAUUGAUUAAUUUGGAUCACUGCCCCCGAUUCAAUUUGGUUGAAUCUGAAGAUUCGGUGCUGAUUUAGAGAAUCAGCAGAUUGGUCAUAGACACAUCUUUAAAUGUUUUUUCUACAUACCUCAAGGUACCAGUGUGGCUUGUGAAUGCUGGGGCAGAUGGGGCGUCCCACAGUAGUGCAGGGGGGCCCUCCACAUGCUCAGCCGCAAACCCAGAAAUGAACUGGAAGUACUUCUGGGUCUGCUGAGGGACCCCCCUGCCGUCCCUGACUUGGCGAUUGGCGGUGGGGGGAUCCCAGGUGCCCCAAGAGGCACCAGUUGUGGAGGCGGGGCAGUGUGCUUCCUGGUGGACCCGGAAGUGUUUCUGGUCCCCUUCCAGGUCUGCUGCCAAGCACACUAGGAGUCCUCCGCACUCCUGUGGAAUGUUCCAUGCACCCCAGCAUCGCAGCAUUCACGUGCUGUGCUGGUACCUCGAGGUAUAUAGACAAAAUAUCUAAAGCUGUGUCUAUCCAAAUCUUUCCUAUUUGAUUCGGAGAGAUUAAAGGGUCCUCUGAUUUGAUUAGGCCAUCUGGCCACUGAAUCAGGCCGAAUCCCCACCAAAUCAAAUUGGGGACUGAAGCUUCGCACAGCCCUAAUAUUGACUCUAAUUUUGAGCAGUAAAAGAACAAGCUGAAGCAUAAAAGCCAAUUUUGAAUGGUAACCAUCUCAAAUGUAAACCGUGGAUGAGCUUUUGGUAUGGGAUAAGUAACUACAUGGUAAAUGUUUCUGAAGUAUCUGUUAAAACUGAGGAAUUAGAGUAGAGUUUAAGGUGAAAACUGAAGCAUUUGAAAACAAGCAUUUGACAGUUGAUUUAGCUGAGAUUCUUUAAAAAUAUCUGAGCUAAUGUUUCCGUUUCUGGUUUAAGCACUGUUACUGACUAGCCAUGUAAAUGAAUGUAAAUUUGUUCAUUUCUAAACAUGACAGGAAGUCAAAAGAACCUGGUAAAAAAAAAAAAAAAAAAAUUAACAACUUGCUGCACAGUGCAGCCACUAACUAGAAGAACUGCAAAAGAAACAGUGGGCUCCUAGGAAGAGGUAGUAGGUUGCAUAGUUUUAGGGCAGGGAUUUUGCUCACACGGAGUUAACUAUACAACCUGCUGCCUUUCUUAGGGCUUUAUUAUUACAACAGGACCAUUUGGGCUCAGUCUAAGCUGCUGCAGCUUUGAUAUGUGAAAACAGAAAUGGUAUAAGACAAGCCACUAUUCCUGAUCAUAUUAAGUUUUAAUGAAACUAAAAGGGGAUGUGGUAGCAACAAACUCAAGGCUGCUGACUUUUGUUUUUUGGAGGACAAAGCAGAAUUCUUGCUAUAGUCAUAAGAGUAAGUGCUGUGAUAGCUUAAAGAAAUGAACAUAACCUCCUUCAAGAUUAAGAUUCUCUCAAACUACAUUAGUACUUUAAGUGAUCUCUACUAUGAGUGAAUUUGCAAAUAUGGGAAAUGCCUCUUAUCUGUUGAGGGGUAACUUUGUUUUUUUUAUAAAAGGUAUUGUUUGAAGCUUCUGUUGCCAAUUCCAUGAAAGUUGCAUGCUUUUUUUUCUAAACAAAGUAAUGUGUAUAGCAUCUGGCCUAAGGAUCUGAAAAGAUGCUAUAAAUCAUAAAGUUAACUAUUGAACAGGGAUGACUGUGAUUGAAGGGGAAUUGAAACCAGAUUAAAACAAAUCCAGUGCUGCAUGAAUUUCAAGAAGCAACCUAAAGGAAUGGAGUAGUGGUCUUGCACAGACUUCCAAUAUACGAACAACUUCAUAACUGCACUACAUAUUAAACUUUAAUUCUUGCAGGACUGUCCCAUGCUACCAGAAGACAGUUGGCAUGUAAUCCAAUACUCUACUACUACUGCUGUUGUGUAAAUCUUUUAUCUAUGUCACACUUCCUUUCUCAAAACACAUUAUGCUUAUAAAAGCAGACACAUUGCAUUUUAUUUCAGUCUUGGUUUGUCCUUGUUCUCAUUGGAAAUAUGUUAGAUUGUAUUGCUGGAGUUCAUAUGGCUGUAUAUUUGACUUAUUAAAAUUGUAUUCUAAUCA